AACGAACGCUGGUGGCAGGCCUAACACAUGCAAGUCGAACGCCCCGCAAGGGGAGUGGCAGACGGGUGAGUAACACGUGGGAACCUACCUUGUGGUACGGAACAACCAAGGGAAACUUUGGCUAAUACCGUAUGAGCCCGAGAGGGGAAAGAUUUAUCGCCAUAAGAUGGGCCCGCGUCGGAUUAGCUAGUUGGUGAGGUAAUGGCUCACCAAGGCGACGAUCCGUAGCUGGUCUGAGAGGAUGACCAGCCACACUGGGACUGAGACACGGCCCAGACUCCUACGGGAGGCAGCAGUGGGGAAUAUUGGACAAUGGGCGCAAGCCUGAUCCAGCCAUGCCGCGUGUGUGAUGAAGGCCUUAGGGUUGUAAAGCACUUUCGCCGAUGAAGAUAAUGACGGUAGUCGGAGAAGAAGCCCCGGCUAACUUCGUGCCAGCCGCCGCGGUAACAC
rnacentral:rRNA from 1 species